ensembl:ncRNA F14F9.9 ncRNA
CAGAUUUUUCAAAACGUAUAGGUAAGUUGCCAGGCUUUCCAAAGAGCCUUUAAAAUGUUUUAAAUAGGAAAAGUUGGAACUAGAUUAAAUCAUAAAACUCGUAGAAAAAAAAAACAUUUUUUGAUCGACUUCCAAAAUUAUGACAGUUGA